rnacentral:rRNA from 1 species
CCUACGGGUGGCUGCAGUAACGAAUCUUCCGCAAUGUACGCAAGUAUGACGGAGCGACGCCGCGUGUGGGAUGAAGCCCCUUGGGGUGUAAACCACUGUCAGGGGUUAGAAAGUUCUGAUCGACCCCAGAGGAAGGCACGGCUAACUCUGUGCCAGCAGCCGCGGUAAUACAGAGGUGCCAAGCGUUAGGCGGAAUCACUGGGCUUAAAGCGUGUGUAGGUGGAUGUCUAAGUACCUUGUGAAAUCCCACAGCUCAACUGUGGAACUGCUUGGUAUACUGGACAUCUUGAGCUGUCUAGGGGUUACCGGAACAAAUGGUGGAGCGGUGAAAUGCGUAGAUAUCAUUUGGAACGCCAAUGGUGAAAACAGGUAACUGGGGACAUGCUGACACUGAGACACGAAAGCCAGGGGAGCAAACGGGAUUAGAUACCCCAGUAGUC